UACGUAGGGCGCAAGCGUUGUCCGGAAUUAUUGGGCGUAAAGAGCUCGUAGGCGGCUUGUCGCGUCGAUUGUGAAAGCCCGGGGCUUAACUCCGGGUCUGCAUUCGAUACGGGCAGACUAGAGUUCGGUAGGGGAGUCUGGAAUUCCUGGUGUAGCGGUGAAAUGCGCAGAUAUCAGGAGGAACACCGGUGGCGAAGGCGGGACUCUGGGCCGAUACUGACGCUGAGGAGCGAAAGCGUGGGGAGCAAACAGG
rnacentral:rRNA from 1 species